rnacentral:lncRNA from 1 species
UUUGUCGUGUUUCGUGCCGUAUUCGUGUAACACAUGUUAUCUUAACAGGCCGGGUCACUUUACCCAACAGGUAAAAUGACCCGACCUAUUAUGAUCCGUUAAGAAAAAUAUUUUUUUUCUUAAAUUUGCACAAACCACAUUGCCACAUAAAUAUUACUUCAACACAUAAAAACACAUUUGUCGUUAAGUACUACAUCAACACUCCAAAAUAAGAGUUUAAUAAAAAAAGCACCAAUACACUACUAGUCUGCUACAAAAUAUCAAAUGUGCAAGGAUAUGAAAAAUAAAUAAGUUUUUCUUUUCAAAGUUGUGAAGCCUUUCUCAAAAGUUAAAACCUUGCCAAUGAAACUCAAAGCUUGCAUGUUAUUCCUUUUACAAAAUUCUUCAAUUUUCAUCGAUCAUCAUGGGGAAAUUGUAUUGGAACUUUGGCUUGAGCUAUUGCCUUCAAGAGUUAUGUUGAUGAUGGUUUCAGUAAGGUUUUCCACAUUAGAACUCUCUUCCGCAUAAACUAAAUAUGGAAAAUCAAACAUUAUAAAUCAUUCAAAUUAUGAGAAGUUUACCAAAAUAAUUAUGAAAAGAAAUAAAACAAUAGUACUAU